rnacentral:rRNA from 1 species
GACGAACGCUGGCGGCGUGCUUAACACAUGCAAGUUGAGCGGAAAGGCCCUUCGGGGUACUCGAGCGGCGAACGGGUGAGUAACACGUGAGUAACCUGCCCCAGGCUUUGGGAUAACCCUCGGAAACGGGGGCUAAUACCGAAUAUUCACUGUGGACCGCAUGGUUUGUGGUGGAAAGUUUUUCGGCGUGGGAUGGGCUCGCGGCCUAUCAGCUUGUUGGUGGGGUAAUGGCCUACCAAGGCGGUGACGGGUAGCCGGCCNGAGAGGGCGACCGGCCACACUGGGACUGAGACACGGCCCAGACUCCUACGGGAGGCAGCAGUGGGGAAUAUUGCACAAUGGGCGGAAGCCUGAUGCAGCGACG